AAUUGUUCGCAAUGGGCGCAAGCCUGACGACGCAACGCCGCGUGGAGGAUGAAGAUCUUCGGGUCGUAAACUCCUUUCGAUCGAGACGAAUGGCCUUCGGGUUAACAGCCUGGAGGAAUGACGGUACCGAGAGAAGAAGCCCCGGCUAACUCCGUGCCAGCAGCCGCGGUAAUACGGGGGGGGCAAGCGUUGUUCGGAAUUACUGGGCGUAAAGGGCUCGUAGGCGGCCAACUAAGUCAUACGUGAAAUCCCUCAGCUUAACUGGGGAACUGCGUGUGAUACUGGAUGGCUUGGAUUUGGGAGAGGGAUGCGGAAUUCCAGGUGUAGCGGUGAAAUGCGUAGAUAUCUGGAGGAACACCGGUGGCGAAGGCGGCAUCCUGGACCGACACUGACGCUGAUGCGCGAAAGCUAGGGGAGCAAAC
rnacentral:rRNA from 1 species